rnacentral:rRNA from 1 species
CCUACGGGAGGCUGCAGUGAGGAAUAUUGGUCAAUGGACGAGAGUCUGAACCAGCCAAGUAGCGUGAAGGAUGACUGCCCUAUGGGUUGUAAACUUCUUUUAUAUGGGAAUAAACUGUUCCACGUGUGGGAUUUUGUAUGUACCAUAUGAAUAAGGAUCGGCUAACUCCGUGCCAGCCGCCGCGGUAAUACGGAGGAUCCGAGCGUUAUCCGGAUUUAUUGGGUUUAAAGGGAGCGUAGAUGGGUGGUUAAGUCAGUUGUGAAAGUUUGCGGCUCAACCGUAAAAUUGCCAUUGAUACUGGCAGGCUUGAGUACAGUUGAGGUAGGCGGAAUUCGUGGUGUAGCGGUGAAAUGCUUAGAUAUCACGAAGAACUCCGAUUGCGAAGGCAGCUUACUAAACUGCCACUGACAUUGAUGCUCGAAAGUGUGGGUAUCAAACAGGAUUAGAUACCCGUGUAGUC